rnacentral:tRNA from 1 species
GUGGGUAUAGCUGAGUGGUAGAGCACGUGCUUAGCAUGCAUGAGAUUCUGGGUUCAAUCUCCGGUACCUCUA